UAGAAAAUAGUGUAGUGGAAGCACCAGGAGUUUUGUUCUCUUUAGGUAGGGUUCGAAUCCCUUUUUUCUAA
rnacentral:tRNA from 2 species